rnacentral:rRNA from 1 species
UUAAACCUGCCUCCUUUAGCGGGGGGAGUAACUAUUGGAAACGAUAGCUAAUACCGCAUAAAAGUCGACAUUGCAUGAUGUUGACUUGAAAGGUGCAAAUGCAUCACUAAGAGAUGGACCUGCGUUGUAUUAGCUAGUUGGUGAGGUAACGGCUCACCAAGGCGACGAUACAUAGCCGACCUGAGAGGGUGAUCGGCCACACUGGGACUGAGACACGGCCCAG